rnacentral:rRNA from 1 species
GACGAACCGUGCGAACGUUAUUCGGAAUCACUGGGCUUAAAGGGUGCGUAGGCGGGUCUUUAAGUCAGGGGUGAAAUCCUGGAGCUCAACUCCAGAACUGCCUUUGAUACUGAGGAUCUUGAGUUCGGGAGAGGUGAGUGGAACUGCGAGUGUAGAGGUGAAAUUCGUAGAUAUUCGCAAGAACACCAGUGGCGAAGGCGGCUCACUGGCCCGAUACUGACGCUGAGGAGCGAAAGCGUGGGUAGCAAACAGG